UCGUCACACUAUCAUUAACUGAAUCCAUAGGUUAAUGAGGCGAACCGGGGGAACUGAAACAUCUAAGUACCCCGAGGAAAAGAAAUCAACCGAGAUUCCCCCAGUAGCGGCGAGCGAACGGGGAGGAGCCCAGAGCCUGAAUCAGCAUGUGUGUUAGUGGAAGCGUCUGGAAAGGCGCGCGAUACAGGGUGACAGCCCCGUACACAAAAGCGCAUGUGCUGUGAGCUCGAUGAGUAGGGCGGGACACGUGGUAUCCUGUCUGAAUAUGGGGGGACCAUCCUCCAAGGCUAAAUACUCCUGACUGACCGAUAGUGAACCAGUACCGUGAGGGAAAGGCGAAAAGAACCCCGGCGAGGGGAGUGAAAAAGAACCUGAAACCGUGUACGUACAAGCAGUGGGAGCACCCUUUGGGUGUGAC
rnacentral:rRNA from 1 species